CUGAGAAGCUGAUGAAAAUCUGUGAACUCUUAUCCAGAAACACACACAUAAUCAUCACGCCGAGCAUGUACCUAUCAUGGGGCACACAGAGCCCGUGAAAACCCUCCUGAACAUUAAAGCUCAGUGUGAGUGAUGCCGUUACAGGCAUCAUAGUGCAGAGGUUGAGGUCACACACUGGAGCCAGACUCCUGGCUUCAAGUCCUGGCUCACUGCUUAUUACCUCUGCGACCUUGGGUGAGCUCCUUAACAUCUAUGUCUUCAUCCAUAAAAUGGGGCUAGGAAUAGGAGCCGCCUCAAAGCGCUCUUUAGAGGAUACGAUAAAUCGAUAUGUACAAAACGCUCACACUGGCAGGGACAAGUAGGAGUCACCCAGGCAAAGAAAGGUAUUCCUGACACAAGGAGCAGCAGGUUCAAAGGCAAGGAGACAUUUCUGUUGAAUAAACGCUGAAAUCCACGUGGCCCACAAGAGCCCAUCGACCACAGGCGGCCUUACGAGUGACUCUUCUCCCGGAGCUCUUGGGGGGCCAAGGGGAGCCAGAGCCUGUGUGCUUGGGGGUAGCUGCCAAAGGAGGCCACCUCCCCCAGGACGCCGGAGCCGACGGAAACAGCCAGCCCCGGGUCUGCAGCGAGGCCAACGCCAGGAGCCUUCCGGCAAAGUCACUCAUUCGGUGCCCACAGCCUGCACUGCUUUAAGAGAGGGGCAGAGUCCAGGGAAGAAGACGCCCGCACCUGGCGGAGGUGGCUGGAGAGAUGGAGGCGAAUGGAGAAACGUGGCCCUGACCUCAGAACCAUGAGAGGAGGGGACGAGCACACUAUGGCGAGGCGCUGGCUCAGGCUGGGGGAGUGCUUGAGGAGCUCCCAAGACCCCCCGCGGCUAGCCGAUCCAGCAGUCAGCAGAGCGCCCGGCCCGGCUGGGCCUCAGAGAGUGGGACGGGCGGGACUGUCUCCACCUCUCUUCUGCUCAGCCUCUAGGGAGAGCCUGUCCAGUCACUUCUGGUUCCCAGGCGCCUGCCCUCAACUAAAGGCCUUCCUAUCAGUCAUUUACACCUUAGUCUGAAUGGAAGCCCAGUGACACCAUUCCCAGGGGCCUCUGCAGCCUCUGUGGCUGUUUGGUGCCUCAGGGAAGAGGGAAGAGGAGUCAUUGUUCAGAGGAGAGGCUUUCUGUGGCCUCUGAGGUCCAGGCGUGUGGUGGCCAGCUUCUCCAUCUUUCUCCCAGCCCCCGUGUCUUGCGGCCCCACGUGGACCUGGCCUUACGUCCUGCUGCCCCUGCCCGCCGAGCAGCAGGCAGGGCAGGGGAGCAAGGAGAGGCAGGCACUCUCGCCUCUGCCGAGGGCCGGGUACCGUGCUGGGCGCCACACCUGCCUUUUCUCCUCCACCUGCACAGCCACCCACAAGGGACAGGUCCUAUUUGCAGGUGACACAGGUGGACACCAGGGCUCAGAGGGAGAAAGACGCCUGCCCAAAGUCACACAGCCGGGCAAGGAUGGAGCUGGGAUUUGAACCUAUGGCUUCGCUCCUAGUCCAGUGCUCUGGUUGCAGCAGGGGCUUCCAACCUUGGAUCCCGGAAGGGAGGGAUGAGGGUCUGAUUGAAAACUGGGCCCAGAGCCGCGCGGGAGGAGGCUGCGGCCCUCACCCUGCACGGACCUCUCGAGCCCUUUCACACCCUGCUGAAGGACAGGGACGACUUAGCACUUAGUAAGUGCAACUUUUUGGAAAACCAGUCUUACUGCAUCGGGCCGCUGAAGGUAGGAUGAAAGGGGUGUUGGUGGGGAAAGGAUGUGACUGUCGCAUUCUCCCGAGAUCACUGCUGGAUCCCCGGGCGAGACCAGCAAGACUCAGAGAGGUCAAGGCACCCGCCCGGGGUCUCCCAGCCAGGGAGGGCUGGAGCCAGACCGGGCCCGGGCGGCCUGACUCUGAGGCUGGGGCUCUUUCUGCUGCACUGGCGUGUGUCGUCUUGCAGGAGGGCAGAGUGCCCAGACAAGGGCCCUUGGGCAGGGGGGCAGCGGGGAGAGCGCCGGGCGC